rnacentral:rRNA from 1 species
UACGUAGGGUGCAAGCGUUGUCCGGAAUUAUUGGGCGUAAAGAGCUCGUAGGCGGUCUGUCGCGUCGGCUGUGAAAACCUGGGGCUUAACUCCGGGCUUGCAGCCGAUACGGGCAGACUAGAGUUCGGCAGGGGAGACUGGAAUUCCUGGUGUAGCGGUGAAAUGCGCAGAUAUCAGGAGGAACACCGGUGGCGAAGGCGGUGGUCUGGGCCGGUACUGACGCUGAGGAGCGAAAGCGUGGGGAGCGAACAGG